rnacentral:rRNA from 1 species
GAGUGGCGAACGGGUGAGUAACACGUGGGUAACCUGCCCAUCAGAAGGGGAUAACACUUGGAAACAGGUGCUAAUACCGUAUAACAAUCAAAACCGCAUGGUUUUGAUUUGAAAGGCGCUUUCGGGUGUCGCUGAUGGAUGGACCCGCGGUGCAUUAGCUAGUUGGUGAGGUAACGGCUCACCAAGGCCACGAUGCAUAGCCGACCUGAGAGGGUGAUCGGCCACAUUGGGGCUGAGACACGGCCCAAACUCCUACGGGAGGCAGCAGUAGGGAAUCUUCCACAAUGGACGCAAGUCUGAUGGAGCAACGCCGCGUGAGUGAAGAAGGGUUUCGGCUCGUAAAGCUCUGUUGGUAGUGAAGAAAGAUAGAGGUAGUAACUGGCCUUUAUUUGACGGUAAUUACUUAGAAAGUCACGGCUAACUACGUGCCAGCAGCCGCGGUAAUACGUAGGUGGCAAGCGUUGUCCGGAUUUAUUGGGCGUAAAGCGAGUGCAGGCGGUUCAAUAAGUCUGAUGUGAAAGCCUUCGGCUCAACCGGAGAAUUGCAUCAGAAACUGUUGAACUUGAGUGCAGAAGAGGAGAGUGGAACUCCAUGUGUAGCGGUGGAAUGCGUAGAUAUAUGGAAGAACACCAGUGGCGAA